CCACCUGUGGCGAAGGCGCCCGGCUGGAACGGGUCCGACGGUGAGGGACGAAGGCCGGGGGAGCAAACCGGAUUAGAUACCCGGGUAGUCCCGGCUGUAAACUCUGCGGACUAGGUGUCGCGUCGGCUUCGGGCCGGCGCGGUGCCGAAGGGAAGCCGUUAAGUCCGCCGCCUGGGGAGUACGGUCGCAAGACUGAAACUUAAAGGAAUUGGCGGGGGAGCACUACAACGGGUGGAGCCUGCGGUUUAAUUGGAUUCAACGCCGGGCAUCUUACCAGGGGCGACGGCAGGAUGAAGGCCAGGUUGACGACCUUGCCAGACGCGCCGAGAGGUGGUGCAUGGCCGUCGUCAGCUCGUACCGUGAGGCGUCCUGUUAAGUCAGGUAACGAGCGAGACCCGUGCCCCAUGUUGCCAUCCCCUCCUCCGGGAGGGGGGCACUCAUGGGGGCCCGCCGGCGAAAAGUCGGAGGAAGGUGCGGGCAACGACAGGUCCGCAUGCCCCGAAUCCCCUGGGCUACACGCGGGCUACAAUGGCCGGGACAAUGGGAUGCGACCCCGAAAGGGGGAGCAAAUCCCCUAAACCCGGUCGUAGUCCGGAUCGAGGGCUGUAACUCGCCCUCGUGAAGCCGGAAUCCGUAGAAUCGCGCUACCU
rnacentral:rRNA from 1 species